rnacentral:lncRNA from 1 species
ACCCAGGAUCAUACAUAUGCAAGCUCUCCCACUGGGCUCAGCCCAGCCUCAAGCAUCACUACUUCUGAUACAUCAGCAAGGCCUUAGACUUUACAGAUGACAAGGUUAUCAAGCAACCCACUGCACCACUAUCUGAGGACUGCCAGAUGAUUUCGGUGAAAAGCAAUGCCAUGUAGCAGCACACUCCCAGUGAUGCAGAGUUACUGUCCAGGCCCCGGGGAGUUCAAACUGCUGCUAAGGACACAAAGUCCUGAUCCUGACAGCUGUAGCACAACCUCUUUACCUUCACAGCUUGAUUCUUGGUGUUGAUUGGUGAGUUCCGCAAAGCUGCAUGGAACGCCCGAAGCAUGUCCCCUGUGCAUCAAAGCCAGUUAAGGAUGGCUAGGCUCAAGCAUGCCCAUGCUUUCAUUAAUGACCUCCCUUCAUACACAGCUCCAGAGUAGUUAAAGGGAUCUUAUCCAUACCACGCACUGCCUCCCGCUGGCCUCUUGCAACCAGGCACAGGCUGCUACAGCCUUGACCUUUCCUGAGCCACAGGAAGGAGUAGAGGGCAGUGCCCUCUGCCAACCUGCAAGCUCUUCCUGAAGUAUCUUCCUGAAGCUUCCUCCUCAAAAAACGGCCCUCUUUUGUGUUAGAAUCUAAUAGAGCCUGAAAGGAAGAGUAUUAGCUCCAGACUCCCAAUACCAAGUUCUCAGCACAAAAGAAAUUUCUUUGACUCAGAGGGCAGAGAAUAAGAGACAAACAUGGGAGAGAGAAGAUGAGGGAGAAGAGGAAAGAAGCAAGGGAAAGGGGGCAAAGGUAUUUGUUCCAGAGAACAAGGACAAAGGACUGCCUCUGGAUAGAGACAACAGAUGGGGUACAUAGGAAAAUGGUGCUUUAUAAAGGUAAAAUAGGCCAGGCAGUGAUGGUGCACGCUCUUAAUCCCAGCACUCUGGAGGCAGAGGCAAGUGGACUGUUGAGUUUGAGGCCAGUCUGGUCUAUAUUGAGUUCCAAGGCAGCCAAGAUUAUACAAAGAAACCCGCCAAAAAUAAAAGUAAAGGUACAAAUGAAAACCCAUGUUAGAAUGUGGUGUUUCAUUUUAACUGAGCAUGUUAAUUACAUGAGCCAAAGGGGGCUUUUGAUUACUGAAUUUCAAUACUUUGAUGGCUGGGCCUGGGUAGGAGUAGGAAUAAGCCAAAUAAAUCCAAAUAGACUUUAGGGGCUGGCUUCAGGAAUGCAGUCUGGUUAACACGGUCCACCAAAACCAUGCCUGCCGUGUUCGAGCUGGCCAGAGUCCCUUCAGAGCCUACUUGCACAUGCUCAGUGCUAGGCACUGUCUGCUUUACAGGAUCUUCAUGGGAAAUCAUGCACAAAUGGACUGCAAGGAGUUCUCACCCUCUCUCAUUCUAAAAGGGAAUAGAAACACACACAUCUUAAUAGUUUUGUUUUUCAAAGCAGGGCUUCCCUGUAUACCCCAGUCUGUCCUGGAACUGUAGGUCUGUAGACCUUGAACUCAGACAUCCACCUGCAUCUGCCUCCUGAGUGCUGAGAUUAAAAACAGUCAAUGCUACCACCACCAGGCUAGACAUAACGCAUCUUCACUCUGUGCCUCUUAUCAAACAGCUAAAGCAAUCAAGUAUGUCAAAUAUACCUCUCAGGCUAGGCCUAGUAGUUCAUUCCUUUAAAUCUCAGCACUUAGGCAGAUUCAAGGCCAGCCAGAGCUACAUAGUUAAAACAUGUCUCAAGGGGGAUGUCUGAGAUAGGGGGUUGUCUGUCUUCCAAAUCAGCAAGGUCUCACUUUGGCCCACAAAAUGAGCCAUUUGCUCCCUUUCCCCACAAGCCUUAGAUAGAAUCCUAAUUUCACAUUCACUGCUGAGUUCUGAAUACCCAGCACACUGAAGAAAAUUACAAUCUAGGUUAUGUCCCCAAAGGUUACACCUAUUUUAAACUGAAUUACAUCAGCCAACUUUCAUUUCCUCAUGUGAAACACUGGCUUAAGCCAAAAAGCUUCAAAAAUAGAACAAGGAAUGACUCUGCCCAAUCAGGUCUUUACUUUUGACCAUGCAGCAAUGCCCAUGUGUGAACAGCUAGCCUCUGGUGCAAACCUGAAGUCCCAACUUCCCUAGUGAGUACCAUCUUGAAAAGCUAUUCUGUACCACCAGGCAAGUCACUUCCUUACCAUGUUGGAAUGGACCUACCUUACAGAGUGGACAGGUGCCCCACCCUUUAUCUUUAGUUUUCUUUUUCUUUUUCCUCAGACAAACAAGAACUAGUCCUGAUACAGCCACUGAUAACCCUCCACCCCAUAACUUUUCUAAUUCAGUAUCCCCAGGCAAUAAGCAGGGUCCCAUAAAAGCUUAACAGUACACAUGAACUAACAAUCAUUUCAUUCACAAAAGAGAUGAGAGGGAAAGGCAGAAAUGAUGUAACUAGUCCACAAGGAUGAGAACGUUAGGCUUAGCACUGCAGCCUGUCAAGCAGCCACUGACAACCAAAGGCUCACAAAUGCUGGGUACAAGAGGAAGCAGAGAGGCACCUCUGCAAUCAUGUUUACUAACUAGCCUCCAUACCCAGAUAGUGUCCAAUAGCUUCAGACAACAGGCUGAAGAACCCACCAGACCAUUCUCAGCCAUGGCCAUUUUAAACCAGAUGAUUCUUUGAUGUAUGCUGCAGGAUAUUUAGCAACCUCCCUGGCCUUUACCCUAAAGUUUCCAGUAACAUCCUAAAACUAUCAAAAUGUCACCAAACACUGCCAAAUUUCCUUGAGGAGGGGUGAAAAAAACUACCAAAUCACUCAAAACCACUGCUCUACCUACAGUCCUACUUGAAGGACCAGAAGCUGUUUCACUGAGAAAGAAAAUGAACUACAAUGGUACUUUAAAACCGCUGGAGUGGAGGGAAAAAAAAAUCCUCCCUGGGGGUUUUGGAUCCAGGACCAGAUACAGUCACAUCUCACCUUAUUCUACAAACCCUCUAGGACAAGAGCCUGACUUCUGCCAUAGAGAUAAUGAAACUGAGACAGAAGGGAAAUUACUUGCCCAAGGUCACAAAGCUACAAUUCAGAGCUGCCUUUCAAAUCCAAGCCCUCUCUACAAUCCCCUGCCCCUCCUACAACCCGGGCCCAAGUUUUGGAGUACACCUGCUGUGUGUUUAGUGGUACACCUGUUGAGGUGGUAAGACCAACAUAGUUGUCUCUAUCAUUUAAGAAUGCUGAGGUUGAGAGAGUGUAUGACCAGCAGAAGGUUAAAGCAGGUUAGACAGUGCCUGUGUGGAUGCACAGCAGCUUUCUAUUUCCACACUCUGCUCUUCCACAAACAAUUCCCAGCACAGGCCUGAGACCACCACCACCUAAUGUCCCCCUAAACCUCUUCACUAUUCUCUCCUAAGACUCACAUGAGGGUCUAUAGACUGAAUGCAAUGAUUAGCACCUGAUAGGGACUCAAUUACUACUUCCAUCCUUCUCCCUACCUGGGCCUGACAUCUGCUAGGGUUUCACUCUCCUCUGCUAGCCUCCCUUCUCCCAAUCCCGAGAGGUACACUCUCCAUAGUAACAAGGCUUCUGACACUGCCAUGAGUGUAGAAGCAAUCUCUUCUAUAAGCUAAGCCAAUGCCUCUAAGCUGCCUAAGAAAGAAAGAAAGAGAGAGAGAGAAGAAAAAACAGCCAGGGACUUCAGCAAGGCCCAGCAACAACACCAAAGCAGAAGCUGACAGAUCCCAGUCUCUUCAUCAAUAUAAUUAGGAUUCUGGCCCAAAUGCAUCGUUCUGGAGCCUUGUCAACAGUACCUGCACAUAAACCAGUCAGUACCCUGCACCAUUCUAAAAACC